GUGAGGAAUAUUGGUCAAUGGGCGGGAGCCUGAACCAGCCAAGUCGCGUGAAGGAAGAAGGAUCUAUGGUUCGUAAACUUCUUUUGCAGGGGAAUAAAGUGCAGGACGUGUCCUGUUUUGUAUGUACCCUGAGAAUAAGGAUCGGCUAACUCCGUGCCAGCAGCCGCGGUAAUACGGAGGAUCCGAGCGUUAUCCGGCUUUAUUGGGUUUAAAGGGUGCGUAGGUGGUUUGAUAAGUCAGCGGUGAAAGUUUGCAGCUUAACUGUAAAAAUGCCGUUGAAACUGGCGGACUUGAGUGUAAAUGAGGUAGGCGGAAUGCGUGGUGUAGCGGUGAAAUGCAUAGAUAUCACGCAGAACUCCGAUUGCGAAGGCAGCUUACUAAGCUACAACUGACACUGAAGCACGAAAGCGUGGGGAUCAAACAGGAUUAGAAACCCUGGUAGUCC
rnacentral:rRNA from 1 species